GUGAGCAACUCAAUAGAGCAUAUGAAGCCUUCCGACAGGCAUGCAUGGAUAGAGAUUCAGCAGUAAGAGAGCUACAGCAAAAGGUGUGUGGCUUGGGAUUUGAAAAUUGGUUAAUAUUCUGGUAAAUUGAGGCUGAGAACUGAGAAUAUUAGAUGGUUGGAAACUUUGGAAAAGUAUAAUUAUUAAAACAGAAGAGUGUAGUGAUGAAUCAACAUUGAUAUUUUUGUUACCUUUUAAAAAACCAUUUUGUGUCAUAUGGGAAAGGUUUAUUUGCUGGAUUCAUUUUAAAUGAUUAUGAUUAAGUAAGAUAGAACAUUGUUUCUCUCUGUGUAGCUUUUAAAUAUCACGAUUUACUUUCAUAUAAGUAAAAAAUUACUAUAAAGGUCAUUUUAUGAUUAAGAGAAGUUUAUCACUGCUCCUCAGUUUUGCAUUGCUUCUUUGUUUUUUGUUUCUUUCUUUCUUUUUUUUUUUAAUUGUUAUUUGGGUAACAGGAAGAUUCAAGUCUUAAUGUAUCCUGGAGCUAAAUUUGUUAUUAUCAUCUCCCACUCUUUAUGACAGCUAAAAUAAAAUGGAACAUGGUAAGUUAUUACAGAGAUGUACCAAAACUUCAUAACCAAAGCAUUUAUGGAGAAAAAGAGUCUAGAGAAAUCUGUGCUCAGCUCCUGUGCACUUUCUUCCCUCCAGCUUCACAAAUCUUGUCACAUGUGUGGGAAGCAUAAGGAAUUCCACUAAAGAGUCACAGUUAUUUGGGUUUUGUUGUUAUUUUUGAAUUCAGAGUUGUCCUUAUAGAUACUGUGUCAACCAAAAGUCCAAACUCAGGACAAGUAGAUCCACUGUAAGUGUUACUAUACUGUCUAAAUAAGCUGAGACAGCAGUCACAGUCUUACUACAUAGGAAUGGUGUGAAAGGCCAUUUUCCCAAGUAAUAUCAAAGGACCGAUUUUGCAAGUAAGCCUUUAUGAAAAUAACAGUCACAGAUCUACUAGGAGGAAUAAUAGCUUAUUCCUCCACUGACAGUUGGAGAUAGGGAACCUUACAUUGUUUUCUUUGAUUAAAAAUUUUCUUGAGGAGCUAGAGAGAUAGCUCGGUGGUUUAAAGUGCUUGCC
rnacentral:lncRNA from 1 species